rnacentral:tRNA from 1 species
GCCCUAGUAGCUCAGCGUUAGAGCGCCGGUCUUGUAAUCCGGAUGUCGGAGAUUAGAUUUCUCCCUAGUGCU